rnacentral:rRNA from 1 species
AGGAGCAUGGCAGACGGGUGAGUAAUGUAUGGGAACGUACCCUUUUGUUCGGAAUAACGUUUGGAAACGAACGAUAAUACCGGAUAAGUCCGAAAGGAGAAAGGUUUACUGCGAGAGGAGCGGCCCAUAUCGGAUUAGGUUGUUGGUGAGGUAAAGGCUCACCAAGCCUGUGAUCUGUAGCUGAUCUGAGAGGAUGAUCAGCCACACUGGGACUGAGACACGGCCCAGACUCCUACGGGAGGCAGCAGUGGGGAAUAUUGGACAAUGGGGGAAACCCUGAUCCAGCGAUGCCGCGUGAGUGAAGAAGGCCUUCGGGUUGUAAAGCUCUUUUAUCCGGGACGAUAAUGACGGUACCGGAAGAAUAAGCUCCGGCUAACUUCGUGCCAGCAGCCGCGGUAAUACGAAAGGAGCUAGCGUUGUUCGGAAUUACUGGGGCGUAAAGGGUGCGUAGGUGGUUCUAUAAGUGAGGUGUGAAAGCCCCGGGCUCAACCUGGGAAAUGCAUUUCAUACUGUAGGACUUGGUGUGCGAGAGGGGAAAGUGGAAUG